rnacentral:lncRNA from 1 species
CUGGAGCAAGGUCCACAGUAACUGACCCAUUCUCUAGCGCCCAGGGCAGGUAGACCCCUCCUCCCGCCACCCACCCAGGCGAGUUUUUAAGCUGCUAAUGAAAACCCUAUGAGACACAGUUCCUUUUGGUUAUGUAACCAAAGGCAGCUUUUCCUGCCUCUGGUGGACUUCAGCAUCAUGUCUCCGCUGAGUAGGGAAUGCAAGCAGCCACAGUGGGGCUGGGGACCUGGCAGCCAGGACCCGAAGGCUCGAGGAUCCUAGGACACGGAACAUCUGUCUGGGAUCCAUGCCAGCUCCUCGCUUUCAGCAACUCAAACGCACUGCUUACCUUGUAGUGGACAGGGUAGGUUCACUCCAUCCUGAUCGCCUCUCUCGGAACGGAGCAAGAUUCAAUAAUUCACUCCACGGUGAAUGGCGAGGGAAGAAAAUACAAGAAAAGGAGGAAACAGACCAACUGGAAGCAGAUGGUCCAAUUUCACAUCAGCCCCGGCAGGCUUUCAGGAGACUCCAUUCUGCUGCUAGCGGUUGGGUCCAGCUCCUGCUCCAGCUCCGACUCGCCGGUUCCCGCGGAUCCCCACCCUCGGCCCGCCCAACCUCUCCAGCCAGGGACCUAGUGCCAGCUGCUGCUCCCACCUCUACUUUGGUUAAGCUUUUCUGAGCAGCUCAAGAAGGUGACCCGUUCUGAUGAAGGGAUUCAUUGAGAUCUGCUCUUAGCAGUGGAUGAUAUUUUAUUCUAAACUCGUGCUCUAAAAGUAGGUGUGCAUGCAUGUUCAUGCAUGCAUGCAUGUGUGUGUGUGUGUGUGUGUGUGUGUGUACCCACAGAGUAUAGA